UGAACCUGCGGAAGGAUCAUUACACAAUAUGAAAGCGGGUUGGGACCUCAUCUCGGUGGGGGUCCAGCUUGUCUGAAUUAUUCACCCAU
rnacentral:rRNA from 1 species